rnacentral:rRNA from 1 species
AACGAACGCUGGCGGCAGGCCUAACACAUGCAAGUCGAGCGAAGCCUUCGGGCUUAGCGGCGGACGGGUGGGUAACGCGUGGGAACGUGCCCUUUGGUACGGAAUAGCCCCGGGAAACCGGGAGUAAUACCGUAUGUGGUCGAGAGACGAAAGAUUUAUCGCCAAAGGAUCGGCCCGCGUUGGAUUAGGUAGUUGGUGGGGUAAUGGCCUACCAAGCCGACGAUCCAUAGCUGGUUUGAGAGGAUGAUCAGCCACACUGGGACUGAGACACGGCCCAGACUCCUACGGGAGGCAGCAGUGGGGAAUCUUAGACAAUGGGGGAAACCCUGAUCUAGCCAUGCCGCGUGAUCGAUGAAGGCCUUAGGGUUGUAAAGAUCUUUCAGUGGGGAAGAUAAUGACUGUACCCACAGAAGAAGCCCCGGCUAACUCCGUGCCAGCAGCCGCGGUAACAC